UUUAUUGGAGAGUUUGAUCCUGGCUCAGGAUGAACGCUGGCGGCGUGCCUAAUACAUGCAAGUCGAGCGGAUGGAUUAAGAGCUUGCUCUUAUGAAGUUAGCGGCGGACGGGUGAGUAACACGUGGGUAACCUGCCCAUAAGACUGGGAUAACUCCGGGAAACCGGGGCUAAUACCGGAUAACAUUUUGAACCGCAUGGUUCGAAAUUGAAAGGCGGCUUCGGCUGUCACUUAUGGAUGGACCCGCGUCGCAUUAGCUAGUUGGUGAGGUAACGGCUCACCAAGGCAACGAUGCGUAGCCGACCUGAGAGGGUGAUCGGCCACACUGGGACUGAGACACGGCCCAGACUCCUACGGGAGGCAGCAGUAGGGAAUCUUCCGCAAUGGACGAAAGUC
rnacentral:rRNA from 1 species